CAGACUGCUACACCGGUAACUCUGUGGACUACCGCGGAACGCUGGCCAAGACGCAGUCCGGAAAGACGUGUCAACGCUGGGGCUCCAUGUACCCACACUUCCACAUCAGAUACACACCACUGUUCUACGAUGUGGAGGAGAACUACUGCCGUAAUCCUGAUAAGGGCUCAGGAGGAGUGUGGUGUUACACAACUGACUCUGCUACCAGGUGGGAGUACUGCGACCUAAGGUCCGGAUGUGUCGGUGACCCCACCACCACCACCACCCAUGCUCCCACCACCACCACCA